rnacentral:rRNA from 1 species
AUGAGCCAGCCUGGAUCUACCGCAUAUGUGAGGAUCACCUCGAAGCUCCCCUCGGUCUCCUCUCCUACUCGUGGUCCUCAGUCACACACCUCUUGGCUGGGACUACACAUAGUUUGCCUGCGCGCGUGCCGCGUCGAUCUCCCGGGCAACGGGUAUUGGGGCCCUGAUAUCAGUUGCGUGAGGGAGGAUGCGAGCUCGUCGUACUCGACGGCGCAGUUGGCACCGGCUUCAAUUGAGGCGUUGAAGGAGUAUGCCCUUAGCUCCUGCAGAUUGUGGUUGUCGGGAUCCUGGGGUUGUUAUCCGUCCCCGAGCGCCGGGCCGGAGGCAUCGUAG